GUGCCAGCCGCCGCGGUAAUACGUAGGCAGCAAGCGUUGUUCGGAAUUACUGGGCGUAAAGAGUGUGUAGGCGGUGCUCUAAGUUUGGUGUGAAAUCUCCCGGCUCAACCGGGAGGCUGCAUCGAAUACUGGAAUGCUAGAGGGUGGGAGAGGUAAGCGGAAUUCCUGGUGUAGCGGUGAAAUGCGUAGAUAUCAGGAGGAACACCUGUGGUGUAGACAGCUUACUGGACCACUUCUGACGCUGAGACACGAAAGCGUGGGUAGCAAACAGGAUUAGAAACCCUCGUAGUCC
rnacentral:rRNA from 1 species